rnacentral:rRNA from 1 species
UACGGGGGGGGCAAGCGUUGUUCGGAAUUACUGGGCGUAAAGGGCUCGUAGGCGGCCAACUAAGUCGGAUGUGAAAUCCCCAGGCUUAACCUGGGAACUGCAUCCGAUACUGGAUGGCUUGAAUCCGGGAGAGGGAUGCAGAAUUCCAGGUGUAGCGGUGAAAUGCGUAGAUAUCUGGAGGAAUACCGGUGGCGAAGGCGGCAUCCUGGACCGGCAUUGACGCUGAGGAGCGAAAGCUAGAGGAGCAAACGGG